GUGAACGCUGGCGGUAGGCCUAACACAUGCAAGUCGCACGGCAGCACAGUAAGAGCUUGCUCUUACGGGUGACGAGUGGCGGACGGGUGAGGAAUACAUCGGAAUCUACUUUUUCGUGGGGGAUAACGUAGGGAAACUUACGCUAAUACCGCAUACGACCUACGGGUGAAAGCAGGGGAUCUUCGGACCUUGCGCGAUUGAAUGAGCCGAUGUCGGAUUAGCUAGUUGGCGGGGUAAAGGCCCACCAAGGCGACGAUCCGUAGCUGGUCUGAGAGGAUGAUCAGCCACACUGGAACUGAGACACGGUCCAGACUCCUACGGGAGGCAGCAGUGGGGAAUAUUGGACAAUGGGCGCAAGCCUGAUCCAGCCAUACCGCGUGGGUGAAGAAGGCCUUCGGGUUGUAAAGCCCUUUUGUUGGGAAAGAAAAGCAGCAGGUUAAUACCCCGCUGUUCUGACGGUACCCAAAGAAUAAGCACCGGCUAACUUCGCG
rnacentral:rRNA from 1 species